AACCGCCGUGUACGGAACCGUACGCACGGUGGUGUGGGAGGACGGCGGCCGUGAGGCCGCCUCCUACCCGAU
rfam:Pseudomonadales bacterium RIFCSPLOWO2_02_FTLL_63_210 rifcsplowo2_02_scaffold_1056, whole genome shotgun sequence.